AGACAGCUUCACCUGCUUCCUCGUCGUUAUCUCUAUCAUCUCUUUCCUCCGUUCACUCACAUUCACAAAAUCCCCAUGUCCUGUUUGAACUCCAAGAAGAAAACCCCAAGUUUUUACAGUGAAUUAAUCAGUUAAUACCUCAAAAAAAGAGGAUUUUAUAGAGCUUUGGAGUGAACUGUGGACACCAUUUGGUUCAGAAAGAGGAAAAAUUGAUUCUUUCAUAGACCCAAUUUACAGAAUUCAAUUUGGGGGGGGAAAUGGAGGGGUUUAAUCAAGAACGGCGGGUGAAUGCUGCGGCGGCGGAGGUGGUGGAGGAGAGUAGUGAUGAUUGUAGUUCGGAGGAUGAAGGUACUGAUGAUUACAGGAGGGGAGGUUAUCAUGCUGUUCGAAUAGGUGAUAGUUUUAAUGGAGGUAGAUAUGUGGUACAGAGUAAGCUUGGUUGGGGUCAUUUCUCUACUGUUUGGUUGGCUUGGGAUACUCUAUUGUAUCGAUUUGUGGCAUUGAAAGUGCAAAAGAGUGCUCAGCAUUACACAGAAGCAGCGAUGGAUGAGAUCACUAUUCUAAAACAGAUUGCAGAAUGCGAUCAGGAUGAUAAAAAAUGUGUUGUGAAGUUACUGGAUAAUUUUAAGCACUCAGGUCCAAAUGGGCAACAUGUGUGUAUGGUUUUUGAGUAUUUGGGUGACAAUCUCUUGACACUUCUUAAAUAUACUGAUUAUCAUGGACUGCCUAUUCAUAUGGUUAAAGAGCUCUGUUAUCAUGUUCUAGUGGGAUUGGAUUAUUUGCAUAGACAGCUUUCGAUCAUACACACCGAUUUGAAACCCGAGAACGUACUUCUCUGUUCCACAAUAGAUCCAUCUAAGGAUCCCCGAAAAUCUGGAACACCUCUUAUACUUUCUAGUCAUAAGGAUAUAACCACGCUGGAUGGCGGGUCUGUGAAGGGUUAUGUAACAUCAAAUGGAAAUUUGACGAAGAACCACAAUAGGAAGAUUAGACGAAAGGCCAAACAAGCAGCUCAGUGUUUUGUGGGAAAAGAAUCUUCUCUCGGGACUAAGGGUGGACAAGAUAGCUCAGCUUCUGCGGAGUCAUCUGUCAGUGCAAAAUCAAAUUCGGAUAUGUUGAAUAGUUCUAAUAGAAUGUCAAAUGCUGAUACUGCAAAAGGCAGCGGGAAAGAAUAUGAGGGUCCUAAGAGAGGCAGUCGUUCUACAAGGAGGAAGCUAUUGGAGGCAGUCGACCUUAAAUGCAAAGUUGUUGACUUUGGCAGUGCUUGUUGGACAUACAAACAGUUCACGGAUGAUAUUCAAACUAGACAGUACAGGUGUCCUGAAGUUAUCCUUGGAUCAAAAUAUUCAACCUCAGCAGAUCUUUGGUCCUUUGCUUGCAU
rnacentral:misc_RNA from 1 species